CGAUUGCACUGCUGCCUUGCAGCAAAUAAAGUCUUGGGUUUGAAUCCCGGCCUGGUUCUUUUUGCAUGGGGUUUGCAUGUUCUCCAUCUCUAAUGUAUUUC